AGACCCCGUGCGGGAGAGACCGGAGGGCCCACCAGCCACUCCGGCGCCGAAGGAGCAACCCCUCCCCGGAACCUCUCAGGCAAACGGACCGCACGGGUGAG
rnacentral:ncRNA from 1 species